rnacentral:rRNA from 1 species
UUCCCUGUACGGUUUCGGUUUAUGGCGCGUUAAUUGAUAGAAGAUCCGACCAAGACAGUUACAUAAGUUGCAGAGUCGUCUUUUCCAUGAUUAUGUCAUGUUAAAAAGAAUAACCAUUACGUAAAAGUACAGCAAAUCCAAACGACGGGAACGAUAGUUACUUUAGAAGUCAAGGGAAUGAAGUUGAGUACACUGGACGAAAGAAAAGAAAAGGUACGUUCGAUGUUCAAUGACAAUGUAUGUAGGUAAAAAUGAAAAAGAAUUUACAUAAAUAAACUUCCGUGUGGAAAUCAAUAAUGAGGGAGGUAAGGGAAUAUGUUCCGGUGUUUGAGUAUAAUGUCCAUAGUUCCAUUUUAAAUUACUGAUGAAACGUUCGGUUAAAAAGAAGAGCAAUUGGCCCUAGUAAUUAUACAGACGUACGUACGUUCCUUCCUUAUUCUUCCUUCAUCGUAUCACAGUAAUUCUGAUGUACGUACGUUCAUAAUUUAUUCAACGAUCAUGCUCCUUUGUAGUAAUUAAAAAUGGAGCUAAUGACAAUCACCGGAACAUCUGAUCGGUGUUACCUCUCAUUGUAUGUGAUCAUUGUAUGUGUAUAGGGAUCUGAUACAAUGAUGGAAGUAUCACCCAUCAUUGUAUUCACACCAUUGUACGUCUCGAAAUAAAUAAUCCAAUAUCUCUGAGUAUAACGUAACCCUGUACACUACAAUGUCAUUGAUCGAUUCAAUCAUGUUCAUAGAGAGAGGAGUAAUUGAGUAACGGUGUAUUUGUUUAAACGACUCAACCUGAGCUACGAUGACGACUUCAAUGAGGGUGACACCGAUCAGCAUAUCUACGUUUUACAUAAAAGGUAUCACCGGAACAUAUUCCCUUACCUCCCUCAUAAUAAUUGGUUAUGUACAUAACGAGUACAGAAGUUUCUCCCUCAUGUAAUAAGAAGCUCGGGUUUUCAUAGUGAUACAUCUACUUAACAUACUACCUAAUGUUUGAAAUGAAUAUUCUGAUGUACUUGACGAUUAAUUAAAUAGAAACUUAUUAUAUACCAAAUGAGAUUAGAGAUGGACCAAACACAGUACAACCCUCCACCUACCCUCCGGUAAGGUUUCUAACAACACCGUCUUAGCUGACUGACGUGGUUGACGUUAAAUUUCAUAUAUACCAGGUAUACUGUGUCGUACGCUCCUCAGUUUACUGUUCCGUUGCCCUGGUUAGAUAGUUUAUGCAUCAUACGGACUCAUCUUGACAUAUAUCCAAAGAAUGUCGAGAUGAGAAACAUUACUUGAACUACGCCUACUAACGUUUCCUAGUACAGAGGGACGAUACGACGUACGACGGUUUUUAUUCAUCUUUUAGUGGGUAUCAAGGGUUCGGUCUCGUACAUAUUAUUCCCCAAAUAUCGG